GAUGAAGAACGUAGUGAAAUGCGAUACGUAAUGUGAAUUGCAGAAUUCAGUGAAUCAUCGAAUCUUUGAACGCAUAUUGCGCUCUCUGGUAUUCCGGAGAGCAUGCUUGUUUGAGUAUCAGUAAACACCUCAACUUCCAUAUCUUUUUUGAAAUGGGAGUUGGACUUGAGUGAUCCCAACGCUUUUCCUCACCGAAAAGUGGCGGGUUACUUGAAAUGCAGGUGCAGCUGGACUUUUCUCUGAGCUAUAAGCAUAUCUAUUUAGUCUGCCUAAAAAACAGAUUAUUACCUUUGCUGCAGCUAACAUAAAGGAGAUUAGUUCUUGUGCUGACUGAUGCAGGAUUCACAAAGACAGGCUUCGGCCGACUUUGUAAACUCGAUCUCAAAUCAAGUAAGACUACCCGCUGAACUUAAGCAUAUCAUAAGCGGAGGA
rnacentral:misc_RNA from 1 species